GAGGAUAUAGCUCAGUGGUAGAGCACUUGCCUAGCAUGUAUGAGACCAUGGCUUCAAUGUCAAGAACCUCA
rnacentral:tRNA from 1 species